UGGGGCUGUAGCUCAGCUGGGAGAGCACCUGCUUUGCAAGCAGGGGGUCAGCGGUUCGAUCCCGCUCAGCUCC
rnacentral:tRNA from 1 species